CCUACGGGAGGCAGCAGUGAGGAAUAUUGGUCAAUGGGCGCGAGCCUGAACCAGCCAAGUAGCGUGAAGGAUGACUGCCCUACGGGUUGUAAACUUCUUUUAUAUAGGAAUAAAGUGUGCCACGUGUGCGUUUUUGUAUGUACCUUAUGAAUAAGGAUCGGCUAACUCCGUGCCAGCAGCCGCGGUAAUACGGAGGAUCCGAGCGUUAUCCGGAUUUAUUGGGUUUAAAGGGAGCGUAGAUGGGUUGUUAAGUCAGUUGUGAAAGUUUGCGGCUCAACCGUAAAAUUGCAAUUGAUACUGGCAGUCUUGAGUACAGUAGAGGUGGGCGGAAUUCGUGGUGUAGCGGUGAAAUGCUUAGAUAUCACGAAGAACUCCGAUUGCGAAGGCAGCUUACUAAACUGCCACUGACAUUGAGGCUCGAAAGUGUGGGUAUCAAACAGGAUUAGAUACCCUGGUAGUC
rnacentral:rRNA from 1 species